AUGCAGCUGGGGUGCAGCAGGCGCGAAAACUCCGCAAUGCACGAAAGUGUGACGGGGUCAGCCCGAGUGCCAACCGAAAAAGUUGGCUUUUCACCAGCCCAAACAGCUGGUGGAAUAAGGGGAGGGCAAGGCUGGUGCCAGCCGCCGCGGUAAAACCAGCUCCUCGAGUGGUCAAGACGAUUAUUGGGCCUAAAGCGUCCGUAGCCGGUCUAGUAAGUCUCUGGUUAAAUCUAACGGCUCAACCGUUAGGCUGCUAGAGAUACUGCUAGACUCGGAGGCGGGAGAGGCCGACGGUAUUCCCGGGGUAGGGGUGAAAUCUUAUAAUCCCGGGAGGACCACCAGUGGCGAAGGCUGUCGGCUGGAACGCGCCCGACGGUGAGGGAUAAAAGCUGGGGGAGCGAACCGGAUUAGAUACCCGGGUAGUCCCAGCUGUAAACGAUGCAGGCUAGGUGUUAACGCGGCUAUGGGCCGCGUUAGUGCCGCAGGGAAGCUGAUUAGCCUGCCGCCUGGGGAGUACGGCCGCAAGGCUGAAACUUAAAGGAAUUGGCGGGGGAGCAC
rnacentral:rRNA from 1 species